rnacentral:rRNA from 1 species
AAGUUUUCAAUUCUUAUGAUAUCUGGAUUUGCUUGAAAUGUGUUUAGCACAGCUCAGUGAUACUAAAAGUGUUAAGAUUUUUAGUAAAGAAAAAUUGAAGGAUUUAAUCGUAUCGGAAUAAAAUCUUCUUAAAUAAUAAUACCUUAUGGAUUUUUUCUUUUUUUUCUUUAUUAAGGCUAAUUUAUAGGUUAUUAUUAUUUAUGGUUUUUACUGUUAAGAUGAGUAUUUCUUUUUAUUUAUUUUAAAGGAACUAGGCAAAUAGAUUUCUCACCUGUUUAACAAAAACAUGGCCUAUUGAAUUUUUUAUUAGGUUUUUCUCUGCCCAGUGGAUUUUUAAACGGCCGCAGUACUUUGACUGUGCUAAGGUAGCAUAAUAAAUUGGCUUUUAAUUGGAGUCUUGAUCAACGGGAGGUUGGGAAAAAACUGUCUUUAUGAUAAUUUAAAUAAGUUACUUUUGGGGUGAAAAUGCCCUUAAAUUUUAAUUAGACAAGAAGACCCUUAGAGUUUAAAAUUUUUUUGUUGGGGCGACAGGGUUUCAAUAAUAACAUGCCUUUAUAAUAUUUGUCAAUAAGUAUUAAGAAAAAAUAAACUACCUGAGGGAUAACAGCGCAAUAUUUUUUUUGUUUGUGACCUCGAUGUUGGAUUAGGAAAGAUAUUGUUUAGUCAAUAAUGUUUUUUGUUCUGUUCGAACUUUUUCUCCUACAUGAUCUGAGUUCAGACCGGCGUGAGCCAGUCAGUUUCU